rnacentral:rRNA from 1 species
AGUGAACGCUGGCGGUAGGCCUAACACAUGCAAGUCGAACGGCAGCACAGUAAGAGCUUGCUCUUACGGGUGGCGAGUGGCGGACGGGUGAGGAAUACAUCGGAAUCUACUUUUUCGUGGGGGAUAACGUAGGGAAACUUACGCUAAUACCGCAUACGACCUACGGGUGAAAGCAGGGGAUCUUCGGACCUUGCGCGAUUGAAUGAGCCGAUGUCGGAUUAGCUAGUUGGCGGGGUAAAGGCCCACCAAGGCGACGAUCCGUAGCUGGGCUGAGAGGAUGAUCAGCCACACUGGAACUGAGACACGGUCCAGACUCCUACGGGAGGCAGCAGUGGGGAAUAUUGGACAAUGGGCGCAAGCCUGAUCCAGCCAUACCGCGUGGGUGAAGAAGGCCUUCGGGUUGUAAAGCCCUUUUGUUGGGAAAGAAAAGCAGCAGGCUAAUACCCCGCUGUUCUGACGGUACCCAAAGAAUAAGCACCGGCUAACUUCGU